rnacentral:rRNA from 1 species
GAUGAACGCUGGCGGCGUGCCUAAUACAUGCAAGUCGAGCGAACAGAUAAGGAGCUUGCUCCUUUGACGUUAGCGGCGGACGGGUGAGUAACACGUGGGUAACCUACCUAUAAGACUGGGAUAACUUCGGGAAACCGGAGCUAAUACCGGAUAACAUUUGGAACCGCAUGGUUCUAAAGUGAAAGAUGGUUUUGCUAUCACUUAUAGAUGGACCCGCGCCGUAUUAGCUAGUUGGUAAGGUAACGGCUUACCAAGGCAACGAUACGUAGCCGACCUGAGAGGGUGAUCGGCCACACUGGAACUGAGACACGGUCCAGACUCCUACGGGAGGCAGCAGUAGGGAAUCUUCCGCAAUGGGCGAAAGCCUGACGGAGCAACGCCGCGUGAGUGAUGAAGGGUUUCGGCUCGUAAAACUCUGUUAUUAGGGAAGAACAAACGUGUAAGUAACUGUGCACGUCUUGACGGUGCCUAAUCAGAAAGCCACGGCUAACUACGUG